UCUGCCAGUGCUGGGUCUCCAAGAGUGGGAUCACUAGGUGGACAAGAAUUAGGAUCAGUUUCUAAAUGUUCCCUGUCCUGUUUAAUAAUGGCAAGGUGCUGGGGGUUGUAUCUCAGGGAAGCUGGUGACCAUUAGGCCUCUCCAGCAAAAGGCACAGUGUGCACAAGGCAAUGAGGCCAGACUUCCAAAAAUAGAGGUACAAGGUGAAAUACCAGGAGCGUAUCAUCCGCCUGAGUUGGAAUUCUAGCAGAUAAUGAGAGAACCACAAACUGAUUUUGCUCUGAACAAAGUUUUCCCAGUCCUCUGGAUCCCAACUUCCAGGCAAGACUCUGCUGCAUUUCUCUGUACUUCUGAGGGCUCACAGCUAAAGGCUCUGCUGUGGACACAUCAAGCAUGAAACAGCUCAACUCCCAACAGAUUUCAGGUUCAGAGCUGCCUGUUUUCAAAUUCCACUUGGUGCUCAAACAAGCCUCAGGAUCCCUGGUUUCUCAUCAGAGUUGCUUGGUCGCACCGAGUGCUCCCUCCAGAGCAGGGUAACUCUGUUAAAAAGACUCCUCUUUUACACCUGCGGAAGGAAGAGAAGAAUCAAGGCCAUCCCCCGCAGGAAGAAUGCACAUAAAAUACUUGCUGCAUGGUGUGCUGGAAAAAAAAACAAUCCCCC